rnacentral:rRNA from 1 species
AUGCUCAAGCUCGACCUCACGCGCGCCUUUGACUCCAUAUCUUGGCCAUUCCUCUUUGAGGUUUUGCGCCAAUAUGGGUUCGGGGACAGAUUUCGGGAAUGGCUUGCGAUCCUGCUUUCGACGUCCAGCACCCGUGUCAUGAUGAACGGCGGGCCAGGCCCCCCGAUCUGGCACCGUUGUGGCCUGCGCCAAGGCGACUCCAUGUCCCCCUAG